AUUUAUAUAGUUUAAAUAAAACCUUAUAUUUUCAUUAUAAAAUUAGAAUCUAAAUUCUUAUAAAUA
rnacentral:tRNA from 1 species